CCUACGGGCGGCAGCAGUGGGGAAUAUUGGACAAUGGGCGAAAGCCUGAUCCAGCCAUGCCGCGUGUGUGAAGAAGGCCUUCGGGUUGUAAAGCACUUUCAGUGGGGAAGAAAGCCUUGGGGCUAAUACCCUCGAGGAAGGACAUCACCCACAGAAGAAGCACCGGCUAACUCCGUGCCAGCAGCCGCGGUAAUACGGAGGGUGCGAGCGUUAAUCGGAAUUACUGGGCGUAAAGCGCGCGUAGGCGGUCUGAUAAGCCGGUUGUGAAAGCCCCGGGCUCAACCUGGGAACGGCAUCCGGAACUGUCAGGCUAGAGUGCAGGAGAGGAAGGUAGAAUUCCCGGUGUAGCGGUGAAAUGCGUAGAGAUCGGGAGGAAUACCAGUGGCGAAGGCGGCCUUCUGGACUGACACUGACGCUGAGGUGCGAAAGCGUGGGUAGCAAACAGGAUUAGAUAACCCUUGUAGUC
rnacentral:rRNA from 1 species